UGGGGAAUAUUGGACAAUGGGCGCAAGCCUGAUCCAGCCAUGCCGCGUGAGUGAUGACGGCCUUAGGGUUGUAAAGCUCUUUCGACGGGGACGAUAAUGACGGUACCCGUAGAAGAAGCCCCGGCUAACUUCGUGCCAGCAGCCGCGGUAAUACGAAGGGGGCAAGCGUUGUUCGGAAUCACUGGGCGUAAAGGGCGCGUAGGCGGACAUUUAAGUCAGGGGUGAAAUCCCGGGGCUCAACCCCGGAACUGCCCUUGAUACUGGGUGUCUUGAGACCGGAAGAGGUAAGUGGAACUGCGAGUGUAGAGGUGAAAUUCGUAGAUAUUCGCAAGAACACCAGUGGCGAAGGCGGCUUACUGGUCCGGUUCUGACGCUGAGGCGCGAAAGCGUGGGGAGCAAACAGG
rnacentral:rRNA from 1 species